rnacentral:rRNA from 1 species
UCCCAGACUCCUACGGGAGGCAGCAGUUAGGAAUAUUCGUCAAUGGGGGAAACCCUGAACGAGCAAUGCCGCGUGAAGGAUGACGGUCCUAUGGAUUGUAAACUUCUGUUGUUAGGGAAGAACGACCUAAGUAGGAAAUGACUUAGGAGUGACGGUACCUUUCAAGAAAGCUCCGGCUAACUACGUGCCAGCAGCCGCGGUAAUACGUAGGUGGCGAGCGUUGUCCGGAAUUACUGGGUGUAAAGGGAGCGUAGACGGCGAUGCAAGCCAGAUGUGAAAGCCCGCGGCUCAACUGCGGUAGUGCAUUUGGAACUGUAUGGCUGGAGUGCAGGAGAGGCAGGCGGAAUUCCUAGUGUAGCGGUGAAAUGCGUAGAUAUUAGGAGGAACACCAGUGGCGAAGGCGGCCUGCUGGACUGUAACUGACGUUGAGGCUCGAAAGCGUGGGGAGCAAACAGGAUUAGAUACCCCCGUAU